rnacentral:rRNA from 1 species
GACGAACCGUGCGAACGUUAUUCGGAAUCACUGGGCUUAAAGGGUGCGUAGGCGGGCUCCCAAGUCAGGGGUGAAAUCCCACGGCUCAACCGUGGAAGUGCCUCUGAUACUGGGGGCCUCGAGGGGUGCAGGGGCGUGCGGAACUCAGGGUGGAGCGGUGAAAUGCGUAGAUAUCCUGAGGAACACCGGUGGCGAAAGCGGCGCGCUAGACACCUUCUGACGCUGAGGCACGAAAGCCAGGGGAGCAAACGGG